AUUAAGCAUAUCAAUAAGCGGAGGAAAAGAAACCAACCGGGAUUGCCUUAGUAACGGCGAGUGAAGCGGCAAAAGCUCAAAUUUGAAAUCUGGCGUCUUCGACGUCCGAGUUGUAAUUUGAAGAAGGUAACUUUGUAGCUGGUCCUUGUCUAUGUUCCUUGGAACAGGACGUCAUAGAGGGUGAGAAUCCCGUGUGGCGAGGAUCCCAGUUAUUUGUAAAGUGCUUUCGACGAGUCGAGUUGUUUGGGAAUGCAGCUCUAAGUGGGUGGUAAAUUCCAUCUAAAGCUAAAUAUUGGCGAGAGACCGAUAGCGAACAAGUACAGUGAUGGAAAGAUGAAAAGAACUUUGAAAAGAGAGUGAAAAAGUACGUGAAAUUGUUGAAAGGGAAGGGCAUUUGAUCAGACAUGGCGUUUGCUUCGGCUUUCGCUGGGCCAGCAUCAGUUUUAGCGGUUGGAUAAAUCCUCGGGAAUGUGGCUCUGCUUCGGUAGAGUGUUAUAGCCCGUGGGAAUACAGCCAGCUGGGACUGAGGAUUGCGACUUUUGUCAAGGAUGCUGGCGUAAUGGUUAAAUGCCGCCCGU
rnacentral:rRNA from 1 species